ACCAGGAUAGUUUAAUCGGUAAAACAUUAAUUUCAUGCAUUAAAUUUGAGAGUUCAAGUCCCUCUCCCGGUA
rnacentral:tRNA from 1 species